GAUGAAGAACGUAGCGAAAUGCGAUAAGUAAUGUGAAUUGCAGAAUUCAGUGAAUCAUCGAAUCUUUGAACGCACAUUACGCCCGCCAGUAUUCUGGCGGGCAUGCCUGUCCGAGCGUCAUUUCAACCAUCAAGCCUCGUGCUUGUGUUGGGGACCUGCGUCCGACGCAGGCCCUGAAAACCAGUGGCGGGCUCGCUGUCCACACCGAGCGUAGUAACUAACCUCGCUAUGGAGUGGCGCGGGCGCCUGCCGUAAAACCCCCAAUUUCACAAGGUUGACCUCGGAUCAGGUAGGAAUACCCGCUGAACUUAAGCAUAUCAAUAAGCGGAGGA
rnacentral:misc_RNA from 1 species